rnacentral:rRNA from 1 species
UACGUAGGGGGCAAGCGUUGUCCGGAAUCAUUGGGCGUAAAGCGCUCGUAGGUGGAUCGGUAAGUCUGCAAAGAAAGACCCGGGCUCAACUCGGGGAACGGUGUGGAUACUACCGAUCUUGAGGCAAUCAGAGGAUGAUGGAAUUCCCGGUGUAGCGGUGAAAUGCGUAGAUAUCGUCUGGAACGCCGAAGGUGAAAACAGCUCGCUGGGAUUGUGCUGACGCUGAGACACGAAAGCCAGGGGAGCGAACGGG